AACUGUGAGAACUCCCUGGAGGAUUUGGGCGGGAAAGUUGAGGAGUUGCACCAGGAGGUCGAGCUGACGUCUUUUACCAAAGAGCUGCCUGCAGAAAUUCUCAGUCUGGUUGAGUCUCUGUGCCAGCAGCACACCAGUCUGAGAUCCAGGCUGUGCCAGCAUCUGGAAACCUGCUCUGCAAACACAGCCAGCUGUCUGAAGAACUGCCUGUGCGUCUUACAGAGGUGGAACCAAAGCUGCCCUGAAGACUCUGUGUCAGCCUUGCAGGUACCUUUCUCUUAAUAGUAUUUUCAUGUUUGUUGAAACACCUCAUUAAAGCAUUCAGUCAGAACUGCCAUGAGUGCUUUUGACCUUCAAUGUUUUGGAGAAAAUUUGAUGUAUUUUGUUUUUAAAGACACUCCCAUGUCCCAGGAGGAGGACACUACCAGGAAAAUUGUGUUUUUUGGUUUUUUUUAACAUGUUCUUGUGGCAUUUUUCUCAUCAUUUCUGAGUAUUUCUUUCUACACACUGCCGUGAAUCAGACAGAUAGGACUGUCCACAUUAAGACAACGGCCUAUAGAAGCACAGGGUUGACUGAGGAAAAGCUGCUGUUCUGUUUACAGCUUACAGUUGGAGGGAUGGGGGCAGAAUUCAGCUGGGAUUUUACCAACUCUCUCUCUGCUGUGUGCAUAUGCUGCCGUCUCUCACAGUUGUUAUGAAUAUUUUUUGCAUCCUUGUCUAAGGUUGCAUUGCAGGAGGGUAAGACGUUGAAGGAAAGCCUGCAGGAGGCGCUGUCUUGUCAGCAGCUUUUGACAGCCUGUCUGAUGCAUGAGAAGCUUGAGGAACUGCAGAAACAGUGUUUGGAGGCACUUGGAGAAGCAGACAUACACACUGCUUCACUAAAUCAAAGCUUGAAGGAACAUGAUCAGAAAAGGAAACAACCUGAGAUUCAGCCCUCGGAUGUUUUCCACGGCUCCACAGAGGAGACAAAGAUCUCUGUCGUUGCGCCUCCACGGAAAAAAAAGCUUUCAGUUGAGAAGUGUCAAGUACAGCAAAAUGUUCCUCUGAAAGAGGAGUCCACAUCUGUUAAAGAUGCUCUGCUUGAGCCUCCUGAAACACCAAGUGGAACGGAAGUCACAGGAGGCACUGCAGUUUUGGAGCUAACCAGUGCAGAAUUGAGCUCCGAUGAGUUUCAAGGAGCAAACUCAAGAGAAGAAAAAACAGACGAAGAGAUGAAGCUGGUUCCUGAGGAAUCUGCUGCGAUCCAUGGAGUAGCUUUACCUGUGGAUGAAGCAGAGACUUCAGCCCAAAACCUCAGGACACACUCAGGUUCAGAUGAAAUCCAGGCCGUACUGGAAGCUACUGUUGUGGCUGAUGAGCUAAAGCUAGUUUCCCAGCAUGAAUCUGCUAGUUUAGAACUGAAGGAGGUUUUACCACCCAAGAGAAAGUCAAAAAGUCUUCCUCUACAGGAUGCCAAACAGAAAGUAGCCGAGCUCGACGAAAAAACAGGAAGUCAAAGAUUUGCUUUAGAUUUGAGGAAAGAAACAGAAGGUUCAGCCAUAGAAGAAGCAAAACUCAUACCUGCUAGAAGAAAAUCAAAGAAUGGAGUAGCCCAGUCAUCUGAGCUGACCGUUUCCCAUCAUGCAAGUGCUGACAGAGAACAUGACGGCUCUAAACCUUCAGCCUUACUGGCUGAGACAGAAACCACGGACACCAUCCCUGCAGAGGACAAGCCAUCUCCAAGUAAAAGAAGGUCAAAAGAGAGCAAACAUCUCUCUGAACCAGCUGAUGCAGAAAGCACUGAAAGCACACUGGAUUUUGUAGAGCAGGUGCAUUUAAAAACCAAAGAAACAUGUCAGGCUGAGGAAGAAAUCCACAAACAACAAAAUAAAAAAUUACCCGACUCAUCAGAUGCAAAGACUGCAUCUGAGAAUAUUGAAGAACCAGACUGGGUCGAGCCUUUGCAGAAACCAGAAAACAUUAUUUUGAAAGAAUCAAAAGUCACGCCGCCAAAGAGGAAGUCAAAGGGUGUGGUCAUUCUCUCUGGUGAGAUUAGUUUGGAGCUGAAAGAAACAAGAACCGAUCUUGAUAGUGCUUCUGUGCCUGAUCGGUCAGUUAACAUAACCAGUCGUGACGAUGGCACACUCAAGUCUGUCGCUGUGACUUCCCAAGAUCUUUCUGGCGAGACAGAAACACAGACCAUCAAACAGCCUGACACUUUGAUGAAAGAAGCAUCAGAUGAGGGAACCCCUGACACUGAUCCACAGCCCACAUCCUUUCAGGAGGUGUCUGAAGAUGUGAAAAAAGGAAAGAUUUCGCCACCAAGAAGAAAAGUAAAGGCUCAAGAAUUCUCCAUACAGAUUGAAACCACAGGUUUGUCUCAGACCAAUGAAGACUCCCAUCUGGUUCAUCCCACAGAACAGAAAGAAGCUGUUCCUGUGGAAAUUAACAAACCCACACCAGAAAGAGGGUUCAAGAAUUCCCUAGAAACCACGGUAACUGAGAAAGAAUGUCCAAGUCAUGUUCUGGAUUUAAGUGCUGCAGUAAAACCAAAUGAGCAACCAUCAGCUUUUACAGAAGCAGAAAGUCCCAAUGGUUUUACCAGACCUCUUUACAAAGAGACUUUUUCUGUCCAGGAAAGUGACACUGAGAGGCUUCCCUCUCCUACAGAGCUACCCUGUCUUGUUGCAGAAGACAGCAAUUCCAAGAACACUGAGAGAAAGUCAAAUGAUGCUGACUUUUCCACAGUUUCAGAAUCAGGACUUCAGGAUUUCACCGAUGGAAAGACAGAGUCUUCUUUGGAGGAAGUUGACAAACCCACCACAACUUUGAUCACAAAGAAGACUGACUGUAUUGAUGAUGAUAGUAUGGUCGUUGACAUGAACACGGGUAAGGAGGACACUAGAGAGCAGGCUCUUGGUGGACAGGACUUGCUUCAGCUGCAAUUGGAGAAAGGAGAUGGUCCACCUCAAAGUGAGUUCCGUAAUCUUGAGUCUGUUUCUAAAACAGCACAGUCUGGUCCAGCAGAAACCACACUUAAUGAAUGCUUAACUGCACAAGAUGACUUAGCUCUGGUGGUUGACAAACAAGAGCAACUAGCCAUCUCAGCUGCAAAUGUUCAGAAGCAAAAACCUGAUGACCACGAAACAUUUAUAAUAGAUGAAAAACAGGCACUGGAACAACACCCGGCUUCAACUGGUAAACCAGGAGACAUGGAGUUGAAUAGAGCUGAAGUUGAUACUAAAGAGCACAGUCAGCGAGAAUCUUUUGACAUAACCUCCUCUGAACAAAACAGAGAUGAUCCAAGACAACUCGUAGACAUGGAAACCAAUCACAGUCCUGCAACUUUAGAUGUUAUUUCUACCUCAUGGACUUGUGAUGGGCAGGAAGAACCAAAGACGGCAGAUGACCCCAGAGCAGAUACAACACACAUUGCUGCUGGACAACAUAAAGGUGACGUGUUGUUUCCUUGCACACAGCACACUGCUGACAUGGGAGAAAGAAUAUCUUUACACACUAACAUUGAGUCAGUUUGUGACUCUCCUGCAGCACUAGACGUGCCAUACCUAAAAAACACUGCUGAUGUAGAGAGUGAAUCCCAAAGUGGAGCUGAACAGGUUCCAACAGACACAAGUUCGGAAUCUGUGCAGCAGUUUAAACAUGCUGGAAAAGCUGAUUUUGAGUACGCAGAUACCCAGAGCAAACUGCAGCAUCUACAAGAUGUAGAGAUUCAAGAAAAGAAAGUUUGCGCAAUCGUUCUAGACACAAGUCAAGCAUUCCUACAAACAUCUGGUACUCGUCCCUGUGAAAAGGAUUUUACAGAGACCUGUAAUGAGUUGGAUUUUAGACAAGAGUCAGUAACAUCUGACACUUUGAGCUCUGAGUUUCAAGAACCUGAACACAAGAGUGAUGAUGCUUUAGAACAAUCUGAGUCCAGGUUUAUGGACAGAGAUCUUUUAUCAGAAUCCCAUAUGGAAGCUGCUCCCUGUCCUGAUGAUAAAGACACCUCAGAUAUAAAUAAAUACAUCGAUAAUCUGUAUGAAAGCAUCUGGAAAAACCAAACAGAGGUCCAAAAACGAGUACUGGUACUGAAUGUCCCAGAUAAGAUGAUCUUUAAGACUUGUGAGGCAGACUUUGCUCACAGGUCACAAGAGACUGUGGCUCAAAGUGACACCUCAGCAACCACUCCACAUGCAGCAGCGUGGACUCAGGAAGGACCGACUCCGAUGACAAAAACAAGCCCAUCAGAAGACAACAUGUCUGGACGAAGUGAAACUGUGAAUCGGGUCAAAUUUUCUGAUCAGAAAACGUGUCUGGAAAGACCAGAAAAUGUUUUAGAUUCUCUUGUUGAGAAGGAGCAAAGUGAGGAUUUAACAUAUUACUUGCCUGGUGUACCUGAGAGCCAGGAGAAGGUCUGUGAGGUACGCAUUCUGCAGCUCGAUAUGAGCACCAAUCCUGGGGAGGAGGAGGACAGCAUGUCCUUCAGACUAGGGAGGGAACAAAGAAUCGACAUCACCAAAACCAUUAUCCAGGAUGAAAGUGAACAAGAGACCAGACCAGAAGUUCAAGAUACACUAUCUCCAACCGAUUUAGCUAAACUCCACCCUUCCUCCCAAACAUCUCCAGAGCCAAAGACAGAAUUUAUAGAAAUUCAGUUGUUUGAGGAAACUGUAGUAGAACCAAGAGAGACUGAGAGCCAGACUGAGAAAACCGAAGCAGUAAAGGAGGAGAGCAGUCAGGAUGAAGAUCCCUCUCCCAUUAUACACGGCAGGGACACUUCACUAACAUGCCUAGAUGAAGGCUCCAUCUUUUCUAAGAGAGUUCCUAUCGAAGCUGAAGAGUGUGUUCUUUAUAUUGAUAUACAAGCAGCUCCAGAAGACCAAGAAAACAAUUCUGCUCCCAGAGAAACAGAAAAAAAGAUAAACAUUGUUCAAACCGACAUUCAGACUCAAAGAAUAAACCAAACUUCAACAGAUAGUGUUGCAGAACAAAAAAUAUCUGAGAUGAAGACUGAAGAGCAACAAUCCGGAUGCAAGGACUGUGGGGAUCCGAUGCAAAUUUACUCCUACGAGACAAAAAUUAGCUCACGUUCCCCAGAUGUCAUCAAUCACACUCAAACCGAAACAGCAGAGUUCACGAAAACCACGCAGGAAGGACCUGGACAGGACGUAGAAGAUGUCCGAGAAGACCGCCUUGAAGAAUCAGCUCAAAGACUUGAGGUAGAAGAAAAGCUGGUGACAAUCCAGAAGCAGCCUGGCAUGCUGGAUUUACAAAAGGACAUAAGCAGCGAUCUGCAGGUCCAUCAACCAAACCUUCAGAAGGCGAGUGUUGUAGAUGCUGCUGACGUUCUGCAUGACAGGUCGGAGUCUGCAAUGACUCACGAGGAGGAUCAAGAAAGCAUCAGUGGCUUCCAGUCAAAGGACGAUCCUGUGACAACUGGAGCAAGUCGUGAACAGCUGCAGCUGACAGAAGAGCACAAGCAGAGACAAAGUAACGUCACCAUGGAGACAUCCCCCGAAAUUAGUCUCACAGAAGUCUUGGAAAAGGAGUUUCAAAACGAGGAGAUGUCAGGUACUAACAGGACAACGACAGAGGUAUUGGGCACACCGUUGGGUGAGAAGGAAGCUUCUCGCCUGGAAGAGUCUUUUUAUCCGAAAAGUCAAGAACAAGAAGUUUAUUUGAAGGCUGACACAGAAGUCCAAAGGCCUCCAAAGGAAUCAGCACUUAAGAGCAUCUUCUCAGAGAUACUAACAGGGUCAGAAGUCCCCAGCCUGGAGGAGGACGCCCUGGAGGUUCUGACCACAUCCCCCACUGGUCUUGGACUUUGUCUAAGCAGACUGGUAUUUAAAGUCCAGUCUUUCAAGAACCGUCCGGCGGAGCUCUGCCCAACAGCAAUGACUCGGCAGAUAGAGGAGCUUCAGGUGAGAUAA
rnacentral:lncRNA from 1 species